rnacentral:rRNA from 1 species
UAGUUGGAUCUGAGUGUUUAGCGCUUGGUGCAGUUCUGCUGUUACUGAGUGCGGCACAUAAUCGCCAAUAGGUUGCCAUCGUUGCCUUAACUGGUGAUGGUGGUUGACUGUUGGCAUGUUUACUUUGAACAAAUCAGAGUGCUCAAUACGGGCGUUUCGCUUGUAUGGUCGUGCAUGGAAUAAUAGAAUAGGACCUUGGUUCUAUUUUGUUGGUUUUCGGAAUCGAGGUAAUGAUUAAGAGGGACAGACGGGGGCAUUCGUACUGCAACGUGAGANGUGAAAUUCUUGGAUCGUUGCAAGACGAACUACUGCGAAAGCAUUUGCCAAGAAUGUUUUCAUUAAUCAAGAACGAAUGUAAUGGGUUCGAAGGCGAUCAGAUACCGCCCUAGUCAUUACCGUAAACGAUUGUAACUGGGAGCUAGCAGGAGUGCUUUGCGACUCUGCUAGAACCCACCCGGAAACGAUAAGUUUUCGAUAUCCGGGGGAAGUAUACUUGCAAAUGCGAAACUUAAAGGAAUUGACGGAAGGGCACCACCAGGGGUGGAGCCUGCGGCUUAAUUUGACUCAACACGGGGAAACUCAUCCGGUCCGGACACCGUGAGGAUUGACAGAUUGAGAGCUCUUUCUUGAUUUGGUGGGCAGUGGUGCAUGGCCGUUCUUAGUUGGUGGAGUGAUUU